GAAUGUCAUACUAAAAUUCGUCAUGUGGAUGCUCAUGCAACCUUGAGUGAUGGAGUAGUUGUCCAGGUCAUGGGUUUGCUGUCUAACAGUGGACAACCAGAAAGAAAGUUUAUGCAAACCUUUGUUCUGGCUCCUGAAGGAUCUGUUCCAAAUAAAUUUUAUGUUCACAAUGAUAUGUUUCGUUAUGAAGAUGAAGUGUUUGGUGAUUCUGAGCCUGAACUUGAUGAAGAAUCAGAAGAUGAAGUAGAAGAGGAACAAGAAGAAAGACAACCAUCUCCUGAACCUGUGCAAGAAAAUGCUAACAGUGGUUACUAUGAGGCUCACCCUGUGACUAAUGGCAUAGAGGAGCCUUUGGAAGAAUCCUCUCAUGAACCUGAACCUGAGCCAGAAUCUGAAACAAAGACUGAAGAGCUGAAACCACAAGUGGAGGAGAAGAACUUAGAAGAACUAGAGGAGAAAUCUACUACUCCUCCUCCGGCAGAACCUGUUUCUCUGCCACAAGAACCACCAAAGGUUAGAUCAAAGAACUCUUUAGACUUACAACAUCACAUGUUCAAAUUUGGUGCUGUUAAUGAAGUAUGACCUUUUUCUAUUAUGUUAAAUUGUUUAGUAAAUUAUUUUAUGUAUAUGAAAGAAGCUGUGGGGUUUGUUACCUGAGAAA
rnacentral:sRNA from 1 species